rnacentral:rRNA from 1 species
GACGAACGCUGGCGGCGUGCUUAACACAUGCAAGUCGAACGGUAAGGCCCUUCGGGGUACACGAGUGGCGAACGGGUGAGUAACACGUGGGUGAUCUGCCCUGCACUUCGGGAUAAGCCUGGGAAACUGGGUCUAAUACCGGAUAGGACCACUGCCUGCAUGGGUGGUGGUGGAAAGCUUUUGCGGUGUGGGAUGGGCCCGCGGCCUAUCAGCUUGUUGGUGGGGUGAUGGCCUACCAAGGCGACGACGGGUAGCCGGCCUGAGAGGGUGACCGGCCACACUGGGCCGGAGGUACGGCCCAGACUCCUACGGGAGGCAGCAGUGGGGAAUAUUGCACAAUGGGCGCAAGCCUGAUGCAGCGACGCCGCGUGAGGGAUGACGGCCUUCGGGUUGUAAACCUCUUUCAGCACCGACGAAGCGCAAGUGACGGUAGGUGCAGAAGAAGGACCGGCCAACUACGUGCCAGCAGCCGCAGUAA